AGAGUUUGAUCCUGGCUCAGGACGAACGCUGGCGGCGCGCCUAACACAUGCAAGUCGAACGAGAAAGAAGGAGCUUGCUUCUUCGAUCGAGUGGCGAACGGGUGAGUAACGCGUGAGGAACCUGCCUCAAAGAGGGGGACAACAGUUGGAAACGACUGCUAAUACCGCAUAAGCCCACAGGUCGGCAUCGACCAGAGGGAAAAGGAGCAAUCCGCUUUGAGAUGGCCUCGCGUCCGAUUAGCUAGUUGGUGAGGUAACGGCCCACCAAGGCGACGAUCGGUAGCCGGACUGAGAGGUUGAACGGCCACAUUGGGACUGAGACACGGCCCAGACUCCUACGGGAGGCAGCAGUGGGGAAUAUUGCACAAUGGGGGAAACCCUGAUGCAGCGACGCCGCGUGGAGGAAGAAGGUCUUCGGAUUGUAAACUCCUGUUGUUGAGGAAGAUAAUGACGGUACUCAACAAGGAAGUGACGGCUAACUACGUGCCAGCAGCCGCGGUAAAACGUAGGUCACAAGCGUUGUCCGGAAUUACUGGGUGUAAAGGGAGCGCAGGCGGGAAGACAAGUUGGAAGUGAAAUCCAUGGGCUCAACCCAUGAACUGCUUUC
rnacentral:rRNA from 1 species